rnacentral:rRNA from 1 species
GACGAACGCUGGCGGCGUGCCUAAUACAUGCAAGUCGAACGCUUCUUUCCUCCCGAGUGCUUGCACUCAAUUGGAAAGCGGAGUGGCGGACGGGUGAGUAACACGUGGGUAACCUACCCAUCAGAGGGGGAUAACACUUGGAAACAGGUGCUAAUACCGCAUAACAGUUUAUGCCGCAUGGCAUAAGAGUGAAAGGCGCUUUCGGGUGUCGCUGAUGGAUGGACCCGCGGUGCAUUAGCUAGUUGGUGAGGUAACGGCUCACCAAGGCCACGAUGCAUAGCCGACCUGAGAGGGUGAUAGGCCACACUGGGACUGAGACACGGCCCAGACUCCUACGGGAGGCAGCAGUAGGGAAUCUUAGGCAAUGGACGAAAGUCUGACCGAGCAACGCCGCGUGAGUGAAGAAGGUGUUCGGAUCGUAAAACUCUGUUGUUAGAGAAGAACAAGGACGUUAGUAACUGAACGUCCCCUGACGGUAUCUAACCAGAAAGCCACGGCUAACUACGUG